rnacentral:tRNA from 1 species
UCCUCCUUAGCUCAGCCGGUUAGAGCAUCUGACUGUUAAUCAGAGGGUCGUAGGUUAAGUCC